rnacentral:ribozyme from 1 species
AUUCUGGUCGUAGGGAUAGCACUAAAAGUGCCAAUUCUGGUCGCAGGGAUAGCACAAAAAGUGUGAACACUGGCCGAAGUGCAGCGAGUAGCGGGAUCGGCAGUGCUCGAGGGACCGAUUAUGACAGCGGUGGAGAAAGUAGUGGCAUCAUGAUGAGUGGAAGGUCGACAGGGAGU